ACAAUUGUGAUUAAUGCUGCUAUGAUCGUGAAUGUACAAAUAUCUGGGCUCCUGCUUUCAACUCUCUUGAAUAUAUACCUCAACGUGGGAUUGCUGGAUCAUGUGGCAAAAGUUGAAGCAGCAGUAGGAUUUCAAGUUACCAGAAAGCUGGCCCCUUCCACCUGGAGAGGAAAGUGUAAGAGCUCCUUCCUGUGCUGGGUGCCUCCUGCUUUCAAUGCAAAGAACCCUCCCCGGCCCACCCCUCCUCCACACAGUCCUUACAGACACUCUGCCAGGCCUGUUAAAUAAUGACACAUAAAAGCUUUAUUUACAUUUCUUCUGUUUCCACACUCCAAAGGCUCCUCUGCAAAGGGUAAAGGGUGCCAUUCCCAGCAUCUCCCUAAAGGAAAUUUCAGCCCUUUGGUCAGGAAGUGGGCUCCCCUUGUGAGAGAAGAAUGCAAAGCAUUCAAGGCUUUCUGGGGGCUGGGAGUUGUGUCCCUCCUGUCUCCCCACUGUGAAUUCAGGAGAAAGAAGAGUCUGAAUAAAGUUCCAGAAGCGAUAGGAAUAGCACAUCCUGGGUGAGGAAUUCAAGCUUUGCCUCUGCAGAAAAAGUAACCACAGACGGCUCGCCCUGUCUGUGGGCCCUCACAGAGCUCACUUACAUUGUGAUGAGCGUGACUGAGAACUGGGCACCAAACAACAGGUUUGCCCUUGAUUGUUUUCCCCAACAACAGAAGCAGAACUGGAUGGUGCCCACCGGCCUGGGAGACCUAGUGGCAACAUGGCUUGGAAGGCGAAGCUGUCAGUCUCGCUUCUGCAAGGACUGGCCGUGUGAACACUAGGCACUUCUUGGAAGGAGCCCUGACAUCAAAGGUGAUGCGCAUCUGCCUUGCCUUCUGGAACCCAGCCUGCCUGCUAGACAGCGCCUCGCAGGAAGGCCCCUGCCCAGCACGCUGCUCCGGGCGCACACUCUGCACCUGCAGGCGCCUCUGAAACCCCCGAACCCUGCCUGGGUGCGGGGAAGCCCAGAGUGUAGGUGGUGGCUCUGGCCAGCCAGGUGGCGCAGGGCGCAGGAAACUGAACAUGGGACACGAGGCU
rnacentral:lncRNA from 1 species